CAGCGUUUAGUUUAUUAAAAAUUUAAACUUUGGGAGUUUAAGAAGUAGGUUUGUUCUAUUAUGCUGA
rnacentral:tRNA from 1 species